rnacentral:rRNA from 1 species
CUGGCUCAGGACGAACGCUGGCGGCGUGCCUAAUACAUGCAAGUCGAGCGGACUAAUGGGAGCUUGCUCCCGUUAGUUAGCGGCGGACGGGUGAGUAACACGUGGGCAACCUACCUGUAAGACUGGGAUAACUUCGGGAAACCGGAGCUAAUACCGGAUGACAUAAAGGAACUCCUGUUCCUUUAUUGAA